rnacentral:lncRNA from 1 species
ACAGGAUACAACAGGUGUAUAACAGUACAGGAUACAACAGGUGUAUAACAGGAUACAACAGGUGUAUAACAGUACAGGAUACAACAGGUGUAUAACAGUAUACAACAGGUGUAUAACAGGAUACAACAGGUGUAUAACAGGAUACAACAGGUGUAUAACAGUACAGGAUACAACAGGUGUAUAACAGGAUACAACAGGUGUAUAACAGGAUACAACAGGUGUAUAACAGGAUACCAACAGGUGUAUAACAGUACAGGAUACAACAGGUGUAUAACAGGAUACAACAGGUGUAUAACAGUACAGGAUACAACAGGUGUAUAACAGGAUACAACAGGUG